rnacentral:rRNA from 1 species
UGGGGAAUUUUGGACAAUGGGCGAAAGCCUGAUCCAGCAAUGCCGCGUGUGUGAAGAAGGCCUUCGGGUUGUAAAGCACUUUUGUCCGGAAAGAAAUCCUUGGCUCUAAUACAGUCGGGGGAUGACGGUACCGGAAGAAUAAGCACCGGCUAACUACGUGCCAGCAGCCGCGGUAAUACGUAGGGUGCAAGCGUUAAUCGGAAUUACUGGGCGUAAAGCGUGCGCAGGCGGUUUGCUAAGACCGAUGUGAAAUCCCCGGGCUCAACCUGGGAACUGCAUUGGUGACUGGCAGGCUAGAGUAUGGCAGAGGGGGGUAGAAUUCCACGUGUAGCAGUGAAAUGCGUAGAGAUGUGGAGGAAUACCGAUGGCGAAGGCAGCCCCCUGGGCCAAUACUGACGCUCAUGCACGAAAGCGUGGGGAGCAAACAGGAUUAGAUACCCUAGGUAGUCCACGCCCUAAACGAUGUCAACUAGUUGUUGGGGAUUCAUUCCUUAGUAACGUAGCUAACGCGUGAAGUUGACCGCCUGGGGAGUAC